CAGCCUCGCUGCGGCCUUGCAGUUUGAUCUCAGACUGCUGUGCUAGCAAUCAGGGAGACUCCGUGGGUGUAGGACCCUCCGAGCCAGGUGCAGGAUAUAAUCUCGUGGUGCACCGUUUUUUAAGCCCGUCGUAAAAGUGCAGUAUUCAGGUGGGAGUGACCCAAUUUUCCAGGUGCCGUCAGUCACCCCUUUCUUUAACUAGGAAAGGGAACUCCCUGACCCCUUGCGCUUCCCGAGUGAGGCAAUGCCUCGCCGUGCUUCAGCUCACGCACGGUGCGUGCACCCACUGACCUGCGCCCACUGUCUGGCACUCCCUAGUGAGAUGAACCCGGUACCUCAGAUGGAAAUGCAGAAAUCACCCGUCUUCUGCGUCGCUCAUGCUGGGAGCUGUAGACCGGAGCUGUUCCUAUUCGGCCAUCUUGGCUCCUCCCCCCCCAGAUCUCAUUCUUAAUAAAAGACAAGGCAAGAAUUAUGAGGAAGAAGAAGGUAUUGAGGAGAUAAGGGAAUAUGAUAACAAUGGAAUUUCCAAUGCUUCUAUGAGAUUACAAAGGAAGUUGGCUGGCAUACUGUUUUCAGUUCAUGGUAAGAAUAUAAGGCCUUCAAGAAAUUGGGUAAGGGUCAGCCACGUUGGAGAAGGCAGUCUUGCAGACCAGGGAUUCAAAUGUAAAUCUCAUCCAGAAAUACCCUCACAGACACAG
rnacentral:lncRNA from 10 species